UCCAUAUGAAACAAAGAAAUCACUUAAUAGGAUGAUACAGAAAAGAUUAGCAUGGCCUCUGUGCAAGGAAGACAUGCAAACUGGUGAAGCGUUCCAUAUUUGU
ensembl:snRNA U6 U6 spliceosomal RNA